rnacentral:rRNA from 1 species
AGUGAACGCUGGCGGCGUGCCUAAUACAUGCAAGUCGAACGGAGUGGCGCACGGGUGAGUAAUGUAUAGCUAAUCUGCCCUAUACUAGAGGACAACAGUUGGAAAAGACUGCUAAUACUCUAUAGUGUAGGAUGAGGCUAUAUUGUCUCAGCUAGUUGGUGAGGUAAUGGCUCACCAAGGCUAUGACGCAUAACUGGUCUGAGAGGAUGAUCAGUCACCCUGGAACUGAGGCACGAUCCGGACUCCUUCGAGAGGCAGCAGUAGGCAGAAGUACCCAAUGGGGGAGACCGUGAAAGGGCUACGGCGCGUAGAGGAUGACAAUUUUCGGAGCGUAAACUCCUUUUGUUAGGGAAACGGUACCUAACGAAUAAGCACCGGCUAACUCCGUGCCAGCCGCCGCGGUAAUUC